rnacentral:rRNA from 1 species
UACGUAGGGGGCGAGCGUUGUCCGGAUUUAUUGGGCGUAAAGGGCACGCAGGCGGUCCAUUAAGUUCAGGGUGACAGUCAUCAGCUUAACUGAUGAAGUGCCUUGAAAACUGGUGGACUUGAGAGCGAGAGAGGGACACGGAACUCCGGGUGGAGCAGUGAAAUGCGUAGAGAUCCGGAAGAACACCAAAGGCGAAGGCAGUGUCCUGGCUCGUUUCUGACGCUCAGGGGCGAAAGCGAGGGGAGCGAACGGG